rnacentral:rRNA from 1 species
AUUGAACGCUGGCGGCAGGCCUAACACAUGCAAGUCGAACGGUAACAGGAAGAAGCUUGCUUCUUUGCUGACGAGUGGCGGACGGGUGAGUAAUGUCUGGGAAACUGCCUGAUGGAGGGGGAUAACUACUGGAAACGGUAGCUAAUACCGCAUAACGUCGCAAGACCAAAGAGGGGGACCUUCGGGCCUCUUGCCAUCGGAUGUGCCCAGAUGGGAUUAGCUAGUAGGUGGGGUAACGGCUCACCUAGGCGACGAUCCCUAGCUGGUCUGAGAGGAUGACCAGCCACACGGGAACUGAGACACGGUCCAGACUCCUACGGGAGGCAGCAGUGUGGAAUAUUGCACAGUGGGCGCAAGCCUGAUGCAGCCAUGCCGCGUGUAUGAAGAAGGCCUUCGGGUUGUAAAGUACUUUCAGCGGGGAGGAAGGGAGUAAAGUUAAUACCUUUGCUCAUUGACGUUACCCGCAGAAGAAGCACCGGCUAACUCCGUG